UGCAAUGUUGCCUCAACAUUAAACAUUCAUAUAUGAGUACAUUCAUGUUUAUCUAAUGAUUUAUUUAUUAAGGCAAAUAAUUUAUAUGUUAUCAAGGUUUCAAAAGCAAUGCAUAUAUCAAUGUAUAUUUUUUAUGGUGAGUCUGCAGUGGUACAAGUUCCCAAAGAUUGCAGUUGUUCUACUUGGUAGUUAACCUUGGUUUUAUUUGACUGCUAGAAGUUCAAUUUGACUUAGUAUGAACAUGUAAUAGUAUGAAUGGACUGGUUUCCCUGGAAAGAAAACUGAGUUUGUGUUCUAUAGUACAAAAGUUAUGAGACACGAAUCAGACAAAUGUUCACUACAACAGGGAUCAAAGGUGAGGUCUGACUGACCUGCCCAUAGUAAAUGUAAAUGAUUUGUUAUUUUGUCCCAUACAUAUGAGUAUAUAUAAUUUAGGGGCGGGGAUCUCAACGGUUUUCAAGUUCUCAAACAGGUAGGGGUAGGCAGAGGAUUUAG
rnacentral:lncRNA from 1 species